UUGCUUUGGCAGCACAUACACUAAAAUUGGAAUGAUACAGAGAAGAUAAGCCUGGCCCCUGCGCAAGGAUGACAUGCACAUGAAGUAUUUCAUAUUAAA
rnacentral:snRNA from 1 species